CUUCAUCUUCCUCUAGAAUGUCAUCAGAUGGAGGGGCCCACAAUUGCAAAAAGUCUGUUGCUGUCAAUAACCUGUUACCUGAAAGGGAGUGAUACCAAAGCUAUGGAAACAGGAUGAUGAAGCAAGGAGUCAUGUAAACAAGCCAAGGACAAACCACAGAAGAAGGGAAGAAUGAAGAACCUGAGAAUUGCAAUGUCCCUAAUCAGGUUAGAAGAAAAUGUGUUUCUUCUCUCAGAAUCCUAAGAUUGCUGGACUUGGACAUCUAAAGUACAUUCAUCUUAAGAGGAAGUUUCUUCUACUCCUCCUCAAGAAAAAAGGGAAAUAGUUCCAAACCUAUUAACUAGUGGGUACAUAUAUAUACGUACCCAACCCAUUAUUCUGCUGUUAAGCAGAGUAUUUUUAACAGCAGUGAUUCAUUUCUGCACACAAAAAAAGCUGUAUUUUCAAGUGCCUGCGAUGAAUCUGUUGUAGCAAUUUUGAACCGUUCUCACGCAUUCUCAACGCCCCAACACCAACCAAAACGUGAGUGGGCACAUGUGCACACAAACAGCAGCUCCUGUGCCACAGCCCUGUGGGUUCCCACAGACACCUAUGGAUUCCUGCAGACAGCUAUGGAUUCCCACAGCGUGCUGUGUCCAUCUCCCUUGCCCUCCUGCCCUCUCCCUGCCCUGCUGGUGCUGUGAGCCAGUGCCUGACAGGUGCUGGGGCUUCAGAGCAGGUCUGCAGAGUCAGGCUCUGUCACCUGAACUGCAAAACCUGCCUCGGGAUCUGAGCUGAAGUCCUGGCUCCAAACAGCUCAGUGGUUUGGGGGCACAAAGCUCUGUCCAGACAGGUGAUGCUGACUGACAGAAUUUGAGGUUAGGCACUAAUGAACUGCCUGCAGUCAAUGGUAGAUUAUGGUUCUACUAAGUCACACGGGUAACCAAUUUCCUAAGAAUCUGGAUAUAAGACCUCAAACUGCCUGUUUGCAGGUAGUUUUUACCUGUACAGUUUACUCUAGGAUCAAGGCCUAAAAGAACAGGAAAUAAUACCAUGAAUACAGAGAAUGAAGAAAAAGCACAGAAGAAAGUUACAGCUAUGGAAGUCCAUAAGAUACAUUUAUUAAAGCAUACUUAUCUCUUUAGCUCCUUGUUUGCUCUAUUACAAAAAAAAUUGGAUACAGCAGCCAGAAAAACAGUGUGAUCUGUUAUUUGUAGUUCCAUAAUUUAAAUCCUACCAAACAAUCCUGCAUCGUUUUGGAAGAUGCUACCUUUGCUCUUGGAAAAUUCUUGUAUAAACCACAAUACACAUUAUAAUUCAUUACUGAUGUUAUCAAAGCUAUGACAAGAAUGGGCAUAAAGUUAUGUUGCAUAAUACUAUUUGAUUGACUUUUCAAAUUGCCAUUGUAAAAAGGAACACAUUAGAAUGUGAAUGUGAGUAAAUGACUUCUUAUAUAAAAAUCAAAAGUAAAAGAGGUCCCUUUAAUAGCAGUAUGGCUGCAUAGCAGCAGAACGAGGAAAAUAAAGACAAACAUGGCACCUUUUA